CGGCGCUAAGGGCGGAGUCCGUGUAGACGUUCUACCUGGGGCUUGACCCCUGGGCCUGCAGGUCACGGAGUAGAAACAUACAGCCCUGAUUGCUGUUGGCAGACAUCUGCCGCUAUGGUAGAAAGCAGCCUGAGGACAAAAUUGUUAAGAGGAAAAAAGCAGAGCCCAGGCAGCCCCGGAGGAAUGAAGCUGGAACUCUGAUCAGUUAUCGGUUCUGGUGGUGGACAGACACCAGAGUGGGAUUCUAAGCUGGCGAGGCUUACCUGGUAUCUCAGGGUCCCGGUGCCCUCAGUCAACACAGGUUCCUGAAGACUCAGUGCCAGGUCCAGGACACUGUGCAAGCAAGAGCACAGCAG
rnacentral:lncRNA from 1 species